rnacentral:misc_RNA from 1 species
UAAUAAUAAUAAUAAUAUUAAUAACAAUUGCUCCAAUGAGCACCACAAAGCAACAACAUGAAUAACAUGAAUACAAUUUAAAAGUCAAUGCCUCUCAAGGGCUUGUACAAUAAAUAAUAUAAUUCACACCCUCUUCAUUAAUGUCCACUUCAAAUCCAACAACUAAGUUAAAUAGAAUUUAUGAACUGCAAUAGAGUUUAGGAGAUGCCAAACUUGGUCCUCAGGAGUAAACAAUUGAAAAUGUUACAAAACUCAUAAUUAAAUUCUAUGAUAAUAAAUAUAAAAUUCACCUUAUUUCUCGUUGCUUGAAGGACCUAGAUAAACAUGAUGAUUAAAUAAAUUACAUAGUAUUUUAUGCAUUUUUCUAUCAACUCAUUUCAUUCUACAUUAUCUAAAAUUUCCAUAUACUUGAGACUAACUCCAUUUCAAAUUAACCAUACACAACUGAAGUCUUAAAUUUAAUUCAAAACCUAGAAUCUAAUAUUUUUCUAACUCGAUAACAACUUAUUUUAAAAAUAUAUCUAAAAAAAAUAACCAAAUUAAAAUUUCUAGAACUCAAGUCUUAAUUACCAUUUUCAUUAAAUUUCUUAAAUUCCUAAACUUUACCAUUUAAGCUUUGAUUU